CGGUAAUCGGAAGUCUACUGGACGAAUGCGGGAACGUUGCGAUAUUUCCUGCUUAAUAUUUUCAGGCACAAUGAAUGAUAUUAAGGGCAGGUGCGCCACAUUGGGGGAAGAUGCAAAGCAGAAAUACAUUCAAGAGGCAGCAGCACUGAGGGCACAUGGGCAGUCACAGGACACUAAACCCUGAGAUGGAGGCAAUUUGUGCUGUGUCUGCCGCAUCCAUUUUUAUGAUAAGAAGAAGAAUGCAAGAAAGAAGUGGCAUUCAUGGUCUCAGUGCACAGUGUGCCAAUCAUGGUCACACACAGCAUGUGGCUUUAAAAAGAACAUGUGCCUUCACUGCCAGUGUCAAGACACCAUGCUAACACCCUGAAGAUGUAUCUUGUUACUUGUUUGAGUUGUUUUUACUGUGUUGACGGCCCCCAAACCAUCCAUACAAACACACACACACACACACACACACACAAUACAUACAUAUGCUGCAAAUUUAUUGUAAUGACCACACUUCACACGUAAGAAGAAAAUUGUGAUCUUUUUGUUAUUUUCAUUCACCCCAUUUUUAUUUAUUAUUGUUGUUUGUUGGCACCAUCAAUGUGUUCUCCUUUAUACAGGACUUAUGUGGGGACCAAUAAAGUUAUAUUGUACUGAA